GAAGAAGGUUGACAAGAAGAAUAAUUUUAAAACUGGGAUUGUAGUUCAAU
rnacentral:sRNA from 1 species